AUCUAGCUGACGUGUCUCAAAUAGGGUGAAACGCGCAUCAAACUGGAU
rfam:Schistosoma margrebowiei strain Zambia genome assembly, scaffold: SMRZ_contig0000066